UAUCCUCCUUAAGAAACAUCCACAAAGUCCACGCUCCAUACACGGGUGCGACUUUCUAUUUUUAUCAAUGGCUUCUUCAUUGGUCUUACUGUAAAGAUUUAAUCUCAGGCUGCCACAGAUUGUGGUUCAAACGAUAACUGGAAACGAGCAUGGGCAUGAAAAUAGUCAUUAUUUUGCAUGUUGCAGAGCAUGAGCUUAUCUGACACUCGGUGGAGUGCCAACACGGAGUCUGUGACACGAUUGUCCGUUUUCUGAACUCCUCAGUUAAUUUUUACACUUUUUUUUUCUCCUUCCCAGGAGUUUGGAAAUAUUUGCUGCUGCAGGGGAUGUGAUUAGAAACAGGACAGCACUUGCCUCAGUCAAUUGAAGGGUAAUCAUCAGACCUAAACUCAGCCUGAAGACUUGGAAGAGCUCCUGUCUCAUGCAUUCCCACCAAAAACCAUCGGAGGUGCUUCCUAAUGCACGUGCAACAGGAAAAUUCUCUGACUUGACCAUCCCAAAGGAGCCUGAUUGUUUGGUGACCAAUCACAGAAGAGGCUGACUCACUUCCUAUAGCCGCACAUGUUGCCAUGAGAGUGGUCAUCCAUCAUGUGGACGAGGAAAACGUCUUCCACAUACAGUCGGACUGAGUACAUGUGGCGGCCAGAUGUUGUGAAUUCAACAGAUGCCAUUCACCGCAUACUUUCAAGUCCUUACACAUGGGUAAGAAAUAAAUUGAGAGCAACAUAAAAGUUUUGGGUUUUUUUUCACAAUGCCAUGAGCAGCUGGAGCAAGUUUUUCAUUUAAGUCUAAUCCUUGUUCAUUGGUGCUCAUGUUAGAAGGUUCGCUCGUUGUUAAUCCAUUCAAAGAGAAAUUUUAUGUGUGCCAGAAGCUUAGCAACUCAACUUUAUUUCUACCGUACAAAAACCACCGCUGGAACAAAGUGCAUUAUUUUGCUGUAAUUAAUAAUAGUGAUGACUGCCAUGUACAUUUGCAUUUAUCAAACGGGCCGUCACAUUUUGAUUCCCUCUGUUAGAAAUGGAUCGCGAUAAGAAUUAACUCAUUUUUUCUCCCAAAAAAUCAA